ensembl:miRNA
UGCUACUCACGAUUAGUUUUGCAGGUUUGCAUUUCAGCGUAUAUGUGUAUAUAGGGCUGUGCAAAUCCAUGCAAAACUGAUUGUGAUAA